rnacentral:snRNA from 1 species
GUGCUUGCUUCGGCAGCACAUAUACUAAAUUUUGAACAAUACAGGGAAGAUUAGCAUAGCCCCUGCAAAAGGAUGACAGGCAAAUUUGUGAAGUGUUCCAUAUUUAA